GUCUAUGACGUUGCACGCAACCAUUGGUUGAUGAAUGCAACGUCUGAACAGGGGAACGCGACCGAAAUUACGCUCAGCUUUAUAGCCUGCGUUUGCACCAACAGGUUUAUACGAUUGUGUUUAGUGGAAGCGCGGUGAGAUGAUCUACAGUGCGCGCGGGACUACACUGACCUACACACCAGCUGGCAUCUGCAACAAGAAGGAUAAUUUUGCAUCCAAAUUCAUCCCCAAAAAACAACCAGAGGAGAAGAAGAAGAGGGUUAAAGUAGGCAACGGAGACGACAUUCCACCUUCCAGAGGAUUGGCACCAGCAGUAGCAAUACUGGAAGUACCAAAAAUGGAGAUAGUACCAAAAGUGGAGGUACCCCCACAAGUGGUAGAAGCUGAAGUUAUACCCAAGCCAGUAACAGUUGCCCCAGUAGUUGAAGAGAUCAAUGUUGUAGAAGAAGAGACAGUUAAAGAGCCUGAAAUGAUCCCUGAGGUUCGGGCUGUGCCAGAGCCCAUGCCAGAGCCCGUGGUUGAGCCAGAACCUGUGCCUGAGCCCAUCCCUGAGCCAGAGCCCAUCCCAGUCGUUGUUGAGGAGCCCAUCCUUGAGCUCAUCGCGAACUUGAACCUGUAUCUGUGGUGAAGGAGGUCCCCGUCAGAGAGCCCACCCCUGAGCCAGCAAGGGAACCCAACCCCAAGCCAGCGAGGGAACCCACCCCUGAGCCCAUCUUCAUGCCAGAGCCAGAGGACCUUGAGAGCAACGCUGAGGAGGUGCACUUUACCCCAGGAAUGAAGAUUAGCAAGUUGGAGAAGAUGAUGACCAAGGAGGAGAUGGAGGAGGAGCAGAGGAUAGAGCUCACACCUGACUUUACCUCUCUAUAAGCAACAUCGACAAG
ensembl:lncRNA